GUGCUCGCUUCGGCAGCACAUAUACUAAAAUUGGAACGACAGAGAAGAUUAGCAUGGCCCCUGUGUAAGGAUGACAUGCAAAUUCAUGAAGCGUUCCAUAUUUUU
ensembl:snRNA U6 U6 spliceosomal RNA